UCGAGAAGAAAGCUGAGUACCAAUGGAAAAU
rnacentral:piRNA from 1 species